AGAGUUUGAUCAUGGCUCAGGAUGAACGCUGGCGGCGUGCUUAACACAUGCAAGUCGAACGAAGCACUUCAAUCGAUUUCUUCGGAAUGAAGUUUUAGUGACUGAGUGGCGGACGGGUGAGUAACGCGUGGGUAACCUGCCUCACACAGGGGGAUAACAGUUGGAAACGGCUGCUAAUACCGCAUAAGCGCACAGUACCGCAUGGUACAGUGUGAAAAACUCCGGUGGUGUGAGAUGGACCCGCGUCUGAUUAGCUAGUUGGCAGGGCAACGGCCUACCAAGGCGACGAUCAGUAGGGGUUCUGAGAGGAAGGUCCCCCACAUUGGAACUGAGACACGGUCCAAACUCCUACGGGAGGCAGCA
rnacentral:rRNA from 1 species